rnacentral:rRNA from 1 species
AUUGAACGCUGGCGGCAGGCCUAACACAUGCAAGUCGAGCGGAUGAAGGGAGCUUGCUCCUGGAUUCAGCGGCGGACGGGUGAGUAAUGCCUAGGAAUCUGCCUGGUAGUGGGGGAUAACGUCCGGAAGCGGGCGCUAAUACCGCAUACGUCCUGAGGGAGAAAGUGGGGGAUCUUCGGACCUCACGCUAUCAGAUGAGCCUAGGUCGGAUUAGCUAGUUGGUGGGGUAAAGGCCUACCAAGGCGACGAUCCGUAACUGGUCUGAGAGGAUGAUCCGUCACACGGGAACUGAGACACGGUCCAGACUCCUACGGGAGGCAGCAGCGGGGAAUAUUGGACGAUGGGCGAAAGCCUGAUCCAGCCAUGCCGCGUGUGUGAAGAAGGUCUUCGGAUUGUAAAGCACUUUAAGUUGGGAGGAAGGGCAGUAAGUUAAUACCUUGCUGUUUUGACGUUACCAACAGAAUAAGCACCGGCUAACUUCGUG